rnacentral:lncRNA from 1 species
ACUUGAAGAACAAAAUCAGGCCUGAAGAGAGACAGAGGUUUCAUUUUUUCAGUAGUUUUUUCUUCCGGAAGCUAGCUGGCCCAGAAAAAGAACCUCUAGAUGCCCUUGAAGGGAAAACAACUUUUCAACGCGUAAGAAAGUGGACACNGAGGUUUCAUUUUUUCAAUAGUUUUUUCUUCCGGAAGCUAGAUGACCCAGAAAAAGAACCUCUAGAUGCCCUUGAAGGGAAAACAGCUUUUCAACGCGUAAGAAAGUGGACACGAAAAGUUAAUCUUUUUGAGAAAGAUUUUGUCUUUAUUCCUGUAAAUUACAAGUAAGUUGGAAAACAGUUUGCUUUCUAGACAUUUCAUUUGAAC